CAGAUCGGCGCCACCGUGUUCACCAUCGGCGACUAUACUAAGUCCACACUUUUGGCGGCAGUCGUUCAGUUUAAGGUCCAAUCCCCGAACCGAACGGUCGCCCGAAAAAUACUUAGCGAACGAGUGUGGUUAGCAGUUCGAUAGAGUGGCAAAAUGGACGCGCGAUUCAGAAGCAAUCUCGACAUGAUCGGGCGCAAUGAACCCAUCACAAGGAAGGCGAAAUUUUGGCAGAGUUACGUACGGGCCCUGAAAGGCACCGACGACAUCAGAGCUCCCGAACACACUCACAGACCCCGCGGCAUUUUCCGCUCGGAUUUUCCUGAGCUGCAUUCCACCUCGUGGCCGUUUGGAAAGUCUAUCUUCGAAAAUCCGAUUCACGCAGCCGACCGCAUCAAUGUUCCCGGAUACAGGUAUCUACCCGUGCACCGUGAGAUCUACGGUUACUCGCCGAGACAACUGUAUCCCCAUCAGUACAAACCCGUAGAACGCUUCACCCCCGCGAGACCAUUCGACGCCGAGAAAGCUUGGAACGAUCAUCUAAAUCGCUUGGCGGACAUCGACAGACUUUAUCCAAGCAAAUCACCGCUCCUGGCUCGUCAUUUGAGUCCGCCGCUCAGCUUAAAACGAUUGUUCGAUAUUCACGGUAAUCCCGUGGACGACGACUUCUUACUGCCGAACCCGUCGGUGUUGCUGCGCAAGAAGCCGCUCUUCGAUCUCCUGGAACCGUCCCCGAUGGCACCCAUCAGCGCGUUCACCAGAGACCCAUGGUGGUAUCCGAGCUACGCGCCCUACAUCCCGAGCUACGCUCAGCUCCGCACGCCCUUUUACCUGAGAGACAGUUACCUCAGCCCGAUCAAGCGUAGCUACCUGUGGACCCGACAUCCCAUCAGGCCUUUCGAAUGCGUUACCAGAAUGUUCUUUAAUCCUUGCGGUAAUUAUUAAAUUGCCGAGCCGUUGCCCCCUUCGGUGAGGAGCCGCUGACAGAAUCUCGAAUACCAUACAUGCGCUCACGCCUACUGAUGACCGUCCGGCACCGACACGGAACAAGCGUGUGAAAGAAACAAAAAGAAAAGCCGACGAUAAAAGAGAAAUAAAAUGUCCGAGAGAAAACUCGACGAAAAAAAAAAAAAAAAAAAAAAAAAAAACAAAACGAAAGAAAACUUUGCAUCACGCACCGGAGAAAAAUUUUGGCGUAUCUCAUUAUGCAGUGCAUAUCGUUUUCACGGAAUUUUAUUUAUUAACAUUUCCCGUCGUACGAUUUAUUGUACUGUUCAUCCGUAAGAAAUAAAAUAAACACUGCCAAAAUUUUAUUUA